rnacentral:rRNA from 1 species
GAUGAACGCUAGCGAUAGGCUUAACACAUGCAAGUCGAGGGGCAGCACAAGGUAGCUUGCUAUCUGGGUGGCGACCGGCGCACGGGUGCGUAACGCGUAUGCAACUUGCCCUAUACAGGAGGAUAACCCGUCGAAAGACGGACUAAUACUGCGUAUGCUCACAGCUUGGCAUCAAGAAGUGAGGAAAGAAAUUCGGUAUAGGAUAGGCAUGCGUCCCAUUAGCUUGUUGGUGAGGUAACGGCUCACCAAGGCAACGAUGGGUAGGGGAACUGAGAGGUUUAUCCCCCACACUGGUACUGAGACACGGACCAGACUCCUACGGGAGGCAGCAGUGAGGAAUAUUGGUCAAUGGGCGAGAGCCUGAACCAGCCAAGUCGCGUGAAGGAUGACUGUCUUAUGGAUUGUAAACUUCUUUUAUACGGGAAUAACAAGAGUCACGUGUGACUCCCUGCAUGUACCGUAUGAAUAAGCAUCGGCUAACUCCGUGCCAGCAGCCGCGGUAAUACGGAGGAUGCGAGCGUUAUCCGGAUUUAUUGGGUUUAAAGGGUGCGUAGGCGGUUUGUUAAGUCAGCGGUGAAAUCUAGAGGCUCAACCUCGAAACUGCCGUUGAAACUGGCGAACUUGAGUGUAGAUGAGGUAGGCGGAAUUCGUGGUGUAGCGGUGAAAUGCAUAGAUAUCACGAGGAACUCCGAUUGCGAAGGCAGCUUACUAAGGUACAACUGACGCUGAAGCACGAAAGCGUGGGUAUCAAACAGG